GGGGCUGUAGCUCAGUGGUAGAGUGCUUGCCUUGUACGUAUGAGGCACUGGGUUCGAUCCCCAGAACCACA
rnacentral:tRNA from 1 species